UGUGCCUGGCUAAGAAGAGAUGAAAAGGUCAAAGAAAAUUAAAUUCACAUGCUCAGAACAUUUCAGGGCAGGUGUUUUUCCUAAGCCAGAUUUCAGGCUUGGGAGGGCGUACCCAGGAUUUAUGCCCCUCCUAAAGUUUCACCUGCUGCACUAGCACUGGAGGGCGAAGGAUUUCACAGCCCUGGCAGCCUGACUUCUCUGGACCGGACUCAAUGACUUUGCUUCGAGCUCAUUGCAAUUUGUACAGCUCGAACGAAGGCUCAGACAAGCGCUCCGGUCUGGCUGCUCAUCACUGCAUUUCACUUGGCAUGUAGGCAACGGAUGAGGAAUGCACAGAAUUUCCUUUUCCACCCCGUCAGAUCCUCUGUCUUGAGCCUGGCCCAGCCCCAAGAGCACAACGGAUGCAGCUGGAGAAGGGCAGGUCCAAUCUUGCUGCUCAGCUCCAGUGACACUUAACCUCCUCUGCUGCUGAGCUGCUUGCAGCUGGAGGUGGAUGUUAAUGAGCAUCAGCCUACUGAAAUGGCUCAUCAGGGAAGGAAGGGGAGUUGAUUUCUUUGACUAGAGAAACAAUAGAAGCUGGAGCUCUUGUGGAAGAAGAUAACCCUCAAUCUCAAAGAAGGUGGUCUUUGGUUUUGCAGCUCAGUUUUUCUCUUGCUGUCGAUCUGCUUGAGAAGGGAUUGGUGUCCUGCUACUUGUCUCCAGCAGCUGCCUCGUAUCUGCUACCUUAUGGAUGCCUUCCAACUCGGGAUAUCCUAUGAGUCUUCCUUCAUUGUCCUUCUACUGAACCUGGGACCUCCACAGUGAGCAGCUAAAGAAGGGAUGGAGCCGUGGCAGAAGCAUUCCUGCUUGUAUCAGACAGCUGUGGAUGGCAAUGGGUCAUUUCACUCCAUUAUGGUUUCUGGCAAGUGCAAAGGGCCUUCUAUUUGUUUUUGAACUCUGUGAAGGGGGAAAAAAAAUACCUAAAGGGAAAAUAGCAGAUCCUGCCUGUUUGACAGCCAUGGUGGUCUCUGCCUUCUUGGGAAACAGCAGCGAUGAGUGCUGUGGGGACAACUCGCUCCUUGUUCAGCCCCAGUGGAUGUCUUCAUCGCCAUGUUCUAGCUGCAUCAUCUGUCACAGAGAGAAGCAAAAUGACAAAGAGAGAUAAGAUCAGUACGUUUUAAGCUGGAGAAGAAAGACCAUUCAACCCAAGCAGAAGCAGAUAAAUGGGGAAUCAUUACCUUCACUGCCUUCAUCUUCACACCAAGCUUGCCACUUGCCUGGGCAACGUCACAAGAGAUGUGGCAACGUGAAACCACAGGUCCUGUCCCCAUUCCCUGGAAGCGGAACCCCUGUGCAGCUUUCAGAUACCCGCUGCCCAGAGCUCGAACCAGCCCAUUGUAUUUCAGAUUACCUGAAGAACUUCUCCGUUGGCAAACUCAGCCCAGAAAUAAGAGAUCCUGAGUCAAUGUCUCAAAAGCCGUCGAUGACAUCAAGUUGAUUGGUUUUGCUGCAGCCCUUGAAAGCAGUGGUGGGGAAUCGAUGCAGCCAUCCUCCGCCCAGGAUCUGCUUUUAGGAGGACAAAGUGAACCUUAUUCAUGGGCACGACAAAGGGUCCAGCGCUGCUUUGAUGUGGUGACCGUCCAAUGGCCCCUUCACCUGUUUCUUCCCUUUGGAGGAACGCUGCAAUGCAUUUUCAUCCGUCUCUUUGGCCAGAUUCUUCCUAGAAAUCGCUGCUAUUCAGCAAGAAGUGAAGGUUUCCUUUUUGAAAUCUUUAAUGAAACGACUACAAAUAAUAGUCUACCUUCCACCCAAGAAGGGCAGAAUUACUCCUUCUCCCGCCUAUACAGAUGGAAGGAAUGCUUAUGUAUGGAUUGUGUUUUCCUACAGCCAGGCUGGAUGACAAUCUGGUUGACUUCUAGGACGCAGCUUCUCGAAGAUGCUGCUCCUUCAGCAGCUGCAGUGCCCACGCUGGUGGGAUGUCUGGCACGUGGGACUGCAGAGUAAAUGCUUAAUGAGGAGGUUGCUCACAAAGGCAGUGGUACAAGGUGGUCCAUUAGAGACUUCAGGCCUAACUCGGUUGAUCUUGAAAUACAAACAUAAUACUUUCAGGUUUAAAUAGCAGACUGAUCACAGCAGUCCCCGCUAGAAUCUCUACGUGUCUAAGGCACUGGACAUAAAUUAGUAUCAUCAGUUCAAACACCUUGAAAAUUGGAAAUAAAUUAUGCCAGACACUGGAGACAGAUGGCAUCCAUACACCAGGCAGAGCCAGAAAGCCCAGCGCUUCGGACAUCUGUAGAUGAAUUCCCUGAAGCACCUGGAGCUGCAGAGAGGAGAGGAGAAAGUGAUUUGUGCCUGAGAAUGGAUGGGUUUCUUUGGAAGUAUCACUUCAGCUUCAUCCGAGCAGCAAAGAGAGAAACUCGUUCACUAACCCACUGUUCUGCUGUGUCCUCCUAUAGGGAUAUAAAUACGGCUGAAAAAUGUCUGCCUUGUUUAUUACUUUGAAGUCAAACGUGCACCGGCUAUUUUCAGAAACAUGGGAGAAGUAAUGCCUUCUGGCUGGCUUUGAGUUGCCAGGUCGUCUGAAUAAUUUCCCUUUCCCUGUCCCUCUGCUUUUAUAUACACAUGGAAAGGCAGACACGGAUAUUUUAAUGUAUGUAUUAAAACUAGACCAAAAGUUAGCAUGCUGUUUGGAGAUGUGUGGCAUAGAAAUAAAUCGCAGAGGAGAGCAAGGAAGGAAUGUGUGCUGCUCCCUGGCAGCCUCGGCUCGUUUGGGGCUGCACAGCAGAGCAAGGCACAGCUCCUGCCCCACAGCCUCCGUACGAAUAUGUCGAGCUCUUUUGUUUCCCACGUGUAGGGUCACCGUUAUGUGCUUUCUCACCUAUGUGACUGCAUCAAACAAACAAGAAAUGCCCUUCAAAAGCCGAUCCAGGUCUAACCAGUCAGUGAGAUACGGGACUUGGCAGGUAGCAGAAGGCUUCAGGACCGAUCCCCAGCCUGAUGGCACCAAGAGCAAAUGAGAUCUGCAAGACAGCACCCCACAGUUCCCAAAGCUCAGAAAACAGGAAGGGACGUGAGACAAAGCUGAUGGCAUAGCUCAAACACCGGCAGAACAGCUAUGCACGGAGUUUCCUAAGAACACAGCCUGCUUGUAAGGGUCAUUAUUGUUAUCCAUGGCUUUCCAGCCAUACAAUGGAUAGACAACUACAUGGCAACUCUACACAGCCUCCAGAGGGUUCUGCGUGCACCAAUAGAGAGACAGAGCACUAACAAGGAGAAUGGCAGUGCUUGAGGUUGUCUUAAUUGACUGCUAAUGGGUCCCAACCGGGAGACAGGCUCAGCUGGGUGCCAUUUGCUCUAAUUGAUAAGAAGCCCUGAUUGGGUCCUUGGAGGGUGCUGGUUCCUCACUGAGCUUACUAAAGGGAAGCUGGCAAAGGAAAUCCUGUUGCCUAAAAGGG
ensembl:lncRNA